CCUACGGGAGGCAGCAGUAGGGAAUUUUCGUCAAUGGGCGCAAGCCUGAACGAGCGAUGCCGCGUGAGUGAAGAAGGCCUUCGGGUCGUAAAGCUCUGUUGCGGGGGAAAAAAGGCAGCAUCAGGAAAUGGGUGCUGACUGAUGGUGCCCCGCCAGAAAGUCACGGCUAACUACGUGCCAGCAGCCGCGGUAAUACGUAGGUGGCGAGCGUUAUCCGGAAGGAUUGGGCGUAAAGGGUGCGCAGGCGGUCAUGCAAGUCUGGGGUGAAACGCAUGAGCUCAACUCAUGCAUGGCUUUGGAAACUGGAGGACUGGAGAGCAGGAGAGGGCGGGGGAACGCCAUGUGUAGCGGUAAAAUGCGUAGAUAUAUGGAAGAACACCAGUGGCGAAGGCGGCCGCCUGGCCUGUUGCUGACGCUGAGGCACGAAAGCGUGGGGAGCAAAUAGGAUUAGAUACCCCUGUAGUC
rnacentral:rRNA from 1 species